GGCGGGGCCUAACACAUGCAAGUCGAGCGGAUGACGGGAGCUUGCUCCUUGAUUCAGCGGCGGACGGGUGAGUAAUGCCUAGGAAUCUGCCUGGUAGUGGGGGACAACGUUUCNAAAGGAACGCUAAUACCGCAUACGUCCUACGGGAGAAAGCAGGGGACCUUCGGGCCUUGCGCUAUCAGAUGAGCCUAGGUCGGAUUAGCUAGUUGGUGAGGUAAUGGCUCACCAAGGCGACGAUCCGUAACUGGUCUGAGAGGAUGAUCAGUCACACUGGAACUGAGACACGGUCCAGACUCCUACGGGAGGCAGCAGUGGGGAAUAUUGGACAAUGGGCGAAAGCCUGAUCCAGCCAUGCCGCGUGUGUGAAGAAGGUCUUCGGAUUGUAAAGCACUUUAAGUUGGGAGGAAGGGCAGUAAGCUAAUACCUUGCUGUUUUGACGUUACCGACAGAAUAAGCACCGGCUAACUCUGUGUCAACAGCCGCGGUAAUACAGACGGUGCAAGCGUUAAUCGGAAUUCCUGGGCUCAAAGUGCGUGCNCGAGGUUCGUCCAGUUUUUCGUUUUUUCUUUGGGCUCUUCCGGCCACUGU
rnacentral:rRNA from 1 species